UUCCACACUUCUGUAUGCGCCUAAGCAUCCUGUAGGGUUUAUAAUCCAUUGGCUAAGAGCAUAGCUAAAUCCCCUAAUACUACUCUUCAACCAUUUCCAAGAGAUAUGCUGAAUUUCUUCUAUCCAACCUUCCAAGUCCCCACCACUAUUCUUAAAAAUUCCUUUAUUAUGUUUCCACCAAAUCACCCAGACACAUGCAAACCAAAUGGAACUUAGCCUUUCUUUGUUCCUCCGCGGUGAUAUCACCACCUCUGCUACAUUGGCGUGGCAACCGAACAGUUCAAACAUAUCCUUUCCCCCUAUUCUUUCCGAAAAAUCGGAGAAGAAAAUGGACUCUAUGUUAUCCAAAGAGCCUCCUUUGUAAACCACCGAACGGAAAAACGUCCCAUUUUGCUACAAGAAAUCUGAACCACUUCCUUCGCACCUGACCUUUGUAAACCACCGAACGGAAAAAUGUCCCAUUUUGCUACAAGAAAUCUGAACCACUUCCUUCGCACCUGAUGCCACUCCAUAUCUAACCUCGAAAAACUUACACAAAAGUUAGAGAGGAAAAAACUAGAGAAUAAAGUUCCAUUGGAAAAUACACAUCUAUCAUAUAAGAAAAGUCUACCAUUUGGGACUUUCUUAGGCUAUCCACAUCAGCAACUCUUCUCUCAAUUUUCCACGUCACUUUUCUCAAUUUUAUGCUACGCUUACACUUCUCAAAUUGCAGUUACGUAUCCUUUCUCCUAUUCAUUUCACGUUACAAACUUCCUCCAAAUUCUCUUCAUCAAUUCAUUUCACGUUAUAAACUUCCAGCGUUACUACUCUCCACAUUCAUCUUCCCCAAAUUCUAACCCUAAAUCAAAUACUCAGUAUUUCACACAACCUUUCAUCAACCCUCAUCACAACCAUCACCACAAAUUCAUCAUUGGACCGCAACAGAUUCACAACGUGCGGAGCACCGUCAUCGGUAACAAAUCUUCAGCAGCAACGAUUGUAAUCUGAUAUACAACGACAUCAUCAGAAAAUCACGGUUGCGACAUUCACGAACAACAAUUUGCGGUUCCGCCAACAAGCUUCCAUUCACACCCUGAUCGAAGCAAUUAUUGGAUUUUGUUUGAAUUUUCAGAUAAGGGCUUUUGCUUCAACAUGGAUGAAUCUAACUCAAUAUGGCAGCGAACUAAGUAUGGAGCAAUCCACCAUAAAAGGCUAGAAAGAUGUUUAAUGUUGGAUCUAUUUAUUUCAUUUCAUCAUUCUUUUACAAAACUACUGACCAUCUGUUUAUUUCAUUUCAUCAUUCUUUUACAAAUCCGAGUUAGAAGUUACUAUAUGUAAGUAUCAAUAGAUGCUGAUUAAUGACGUAAAUCGAGGCUUUGGAGAGAAGAAAAUAAAAGGAAACAAAUAUGACUGCCGAGCAACGUCUGAUGGUGGAAACAAUAUUGGAAAGCAGCAAUUUAUUGGCUACACUCAUCAAUUAUGUUUUAGAUCUUUCGCGGCUUGAGACUUCUUAUUCAUAUUCAUGUUUGUUCUAACAUUACUUCACUUUCUCUUUUCAUGUGAUAAUGAGCAUUGGUGGCAAAAGGCAAGACAAGGUCAAUUUUGUGGAGUUUGGAGGCAUUGGGGAACGAAGCUUCUUUUGUGUAAUUUGUAAUGAAAAUUUGAAUCUUUAGAUGUAAUGAAUAUUUGGUUGGUUGCUGAUAUUUGGCAUACAAGGCAAUAAAGCAAAUGGAUGACUACAAGGUUUUAGCGACUAUUGGAGCGCCUGGAAAACAUGUGAAGAUGCUUUAGUAGAACUGCUACUUCUUUGAGCAGCAACUGUCUCCGGCCGUCCUCAUUAUCUAUUUUUUGGUUGGCUGAAUUUUCUGUUCAAUUUUCAUUGAUUGAGUAAUGAUUUUGGUUGGUUGAGUUUUCUGUGUAGUUUCAAACAAUCCCCUGUCGACAAUCGUUUCUCCAACUCCGACCGAUUCGUACUCCUCAUCUCGCGGCCUUCCUAAAGUCUUUUGAUUUAUUUUUGUUUGGUUUGGUGUUGAUGAUGCUCACGGGUUUGUGCGAUAUGUUGGAACUGGUGAACACCUUCCCUGAAGAUAUGUCUCUGUUGGAAAGCAUGUAAAAUAUAUUCUCAGGAACUACUCUUGCCGACUUUAUUGACGAUUCUAUUACUCCAAUUCGCCCUCUGCACCAAUCACAUGUGUCUUCCUCAGCUUUACAAGAAGCUCGGGAAUUGUUUGGUGAUGUCGAUGAGUUUCUUUUGGCUCGCAGUCAUGUUCGAGGAUCAAAUGAUUUUAAAGAGACUAGACUCAAGGAUGAGUUUGAGCCUAUUGUUCGAGGAUGAGUUUCUUUUAGCUCGCAGGUAUAUUUUCAUUUUUAUUUAAUCUCAUUUAGUGUGACUAACAAUUUAACAAAUAAACUAGGUGAGGAAGUUCUGUUGGACUUCAUAGAGCAAGUGAAAUCAUUUAAAGAAACGGGCCCAAGGAUGAUGUUAUUUGGUUUGAUUUUAGCCAGAGAUGAUUCACUCUGAUGCACUCUACAAGGCCUUUAAACUUUAGAGAUUACCAAGAGAUUGCAGAUCAUGGUGCUGCAGAACCAGAGAUGCUUUCCAACAAGAAUGAUUGCUUGAGGGGAUUAUCAGUUGGCCGCACCUCUUUCGCUCACCGGAUAGCAUAGCUUUGCGUAUGAUUUCUAUCGCAUCAAAUAAUCUGUAACUCGAGGCUGAAUGUUUCUAUCCAUGUUUAGAGCCUGCUCUAAAACUAUGCUCCAGUAUUCAGGGAAGCCUUUUAUUUGUAGCAGCAAGGCAGUUUCCGACUGGCAUAUUCAAAGGAGAAUUAUCUUUCAUCAAAGUGAUGUCCCAAUUCUAGCGCCUUGGUUCGGUCGCUGUAGGAUUUUCUGUUGCAUUGGUGAUUGAGUCAUUAAUUCGAUAGCAUUCUUUUCGGCUUGGAUUCUGAGGAAUGCUCGAUCCUUUUCCGAUUGAGAUGUUGUUUCUUCGUCGUUUUCUCGAUCAGGCAAAGAAGUUUUUGUCUACAACCCUUGGGUCUGAAUCUGGUGUCAAUGCUAUCUUUACUAAUGGAAGUGUUACUUGUCCUAUUGACGAGGGCACAUUUUUUAGUGCUGAUCUGCAUCUUCUUGAAUCGAUAGAGAUUAAGAACAAGACGAAGCAUAUUUUGGAAAUUAUUGAAGAGGUGAAAUGGAAAGAUGCUCACCCUGACUUGCUAACAAGGUUUCACUUCGUCUUCGCUCUGUCUCUUCUCUUCCGAGUUAGAUACAACGUAAGACUCAUAGAAGUAGUACGGGCUGUAUCCAAAGCAUGGGAACGACGUAGUUCUAAUGAUAUACGAUUCUGUUUACUAUUGUUAAUCAAUGCUUAUAUAAGGCCAGUUCCAAUAUUGAAUAACUUAAGAGCAAA